CCUACGGGAGACAGCAGUGGGGGAUAUUGCACAAUGGGGGAAACCCUGAUGCAGCGACGCCGCGUGGGUGAAGAAGCGCCUCGGCGCGUAAAGCCCUGUCAGCAGGGAAGAAAAUGACGGUACCUGAAGAAGAAGCCCCGGCUAACUACGUGCCAGCAGCCGCGGUAAUACGUAGGGGGCAAGCGUUAUCCGGAUUUACUGGGUGUAAAGGGGGCGCAGACGGCGAUGCAAGCCAGGAGUGAAAGCCCGGGGCCCAACCCCGGGACUGCUCGUGGAACUGCGUGGCUAGAGUGCAGGAGGGGCAGGCGGAAUUCCUGGUGUAGCGGUGAAAUGCGUAGAUAGCAGGAGGAACACCGGUGGCGAAGGCGGCCUGCUGGACUGCAACUGACGUUGAGGCCCGAAAGCGUGGGGAGCAAACAGGAUUAGAUACCCCAGUAGUC
rnacentral:rRNA from 1 species